rnacentral:rRNA from 1 species
AAAUUGAAGAGUUUGAUCAUGGCUCAGAUUGAACGCUGGCGGCAGGCCUAACACAUGCAAGUCGAACGGUAACAGGAAGAAGCUUGCUUCUUUGCUGACGAGUGGCGGACGGGUGAGUAAUGUCUGGGAAACUGCCUGAUGGAGGGGGAUAACUACUGGAAACGGUAGCUAAUACCGCAUAACGUCGCAAGACCAAAGAGGGGGACCUUCGGGCCUCUUGCCAUCGGAUGUGCCCAGAUGGGAUUAGCUAGUAGGUGGGGUAACGGCUCACCUAGGCGACGAUCCCUAGCUGGUCUGAGAGGAUGACCAGCCACACUGGAACUGAGACACGGUCCAGACUCCUACGGGAGGCAGCAGUGGGGAAUAUUGCACAAUGGGCGCAAGCCUGAUGCAGCCAUGCCGCGUGUAUGAAGAAGGCCUUCGGGUUGUAAAGUACUUUCAGCGGGGAGGAAGGGAGUAAAGUUAAUACCUUUGCUCAUUGACGUUACCCGCAGAAGAAGCACCGGCUAACUCCGUGCCAGCAGCCGCGGUAAUACGGAGGGUGCAAGCGUUAAUCGGAAUUACUGGGCGUAAAGCGCACGCAGGCGGUUUGUUAAGUCAGAUGUGAAAUCCCCGGGCUCAACCUGGGAACUGCAUCUGAUACUGGCAAGCUUGAGUCUCGUAGAGGGGGUAGAAUUCCGGUGUAGCGGUGAAAUGCGUAGAGAUCUGGAGGAAUACCGGUGGCGAAGGCGGCCCCUGGACGAAGACUGACGCUCAGGUGCGAAAGCGUGGGGAGCAAACAGGAUUAGAUACCUGGUAGUCCACGCCGUAAACGAUGUCGACUUGGAGGUUGUGCCCUUGAGGCGUGGCUUCCGGAGCUAACGCGUUAAGUCGACCGCCUGGGGAGUACGGCCGCAAGGUUAAAACUCAAAUGAAUUGACGGGGGCCCGCACAAGCGGUGGAGCAUGUGGUUUAAUUCGAUGCAACGCGAAGAACCUUACCUGGUCUUGACAUCCACAGAACUUUCCAGAGAUGGAUUGGUGCCUUCGGGAACUGUGAGACAGGUGCUGCAUGGCUGUCGUCAGCUCGUGUUGUGAAAUGUUGGGUUAAGUCCCGCAACGAGCGCAACCCUUAUCCUUUGUUGCCAGCGGUCCGGCCGGGAACUCAAAGGAGACUGCCAGUGAUAAACUGGAGGAAGGUGGGGAUGACGUCAAGUCAUCAUGGCCCUUACGACCAGGGCUACACACGUGCUACAAUGGCGCAUACAAAGAGAAGCGACCUCGCGAGAGCAAGCGGACCUCAUAAAGUGCGUCGUAGUCCGGAUUGGAGUCUGCAACUCGACUCCAUGAAGUCGGAAUCGCUAGUAAUCGUGGAUCAGAAUGCCACGGUGAAUACGUUCCCGGGCCUUGUACACACCGCCCGUCACACCAUGGGAGUGGGUUGCAAAAGAAGUAGGUAGCUUAACCUUCGGGAGGGCGCUUACCACUUUGUGAUUCAUGACUGGGGUGAAGUCGUAACAAGGUAACCGUAGGGGAACCUGCGGUUGGAUCACCUCCUUA